rnacentral:tRNA from 1 species
AAUAAAGUGCCUGACAAUAGGGCUAUCUUGAUAGGAUAGAUAAUACGAAUGCUUCAACGUCGUCUUUAUUA